AUUGAACGCUGGCGGCAUGCCUUACACAUGCAAGUCGAACGGCAGCACGGGGCAACCUGGUGGCGAGUGGCGAACGGGUGAGUAAUGUAUCGGAACGUACCAUUGAGUGGGGGAUAACGUAGCGAAAGUUACGCUAAUACCGCAUCUACCCCGAGGGGGAAAGCAGGGGAUCGCAAGACCUUGUGCUCUUCGAGCGGCCGAUAUCAGAUUAGCUAGUUGGUGAGGUAAAGGCUUACCAAGGCGACGAUCUGUAGCGGGUCUGAGAGGAUGAUCCGCCACACUGGGACUGAGACACGGCCCAGACUCCUACGGGAGGCAGCAGUGGGGAAUUUUGGACAAUGGGCGCAAGCCUGAUCCAGCCAUGCCGCGUGAGUGAAGAAGGCCUUCGGGUUGUAAAGCUCUUUCGGCCGGGAAGAAAUCGUACAGGUUAAUACCCUGUGUGGAUGACGGUACCGGAAUAAGAAGCACCGGCUAACUACGUGCCAGCAGCCGCCGUAACAC
rnacentral:rRNA from 1 species